AGGUAUAACACCUCUGGUAUUUAGGACUCUUUGAUGGACUGCAGAUUCCGGAAGUGACGCUAUAUGUCAAGGAAUUCUCUGAAAACUUGAAGAGGAAUACAAUAGAUAAAGUGCCAGCAAAAGCAGAUACUAAAGAUGAUGCUGGCCGUGUGGUCCAGGCUGAAGUAGCGAAUCAGGCUGAGGAAAUUGUAGGCGAGCAAAACGAAGCAGAGGAUCACAGAGACCCAUUCCUGGAAUCUUUUUCCUGUAAAAAUAAAUAAAUAUAUUUAAAUAAA